rnacentral:rRNA from 1 species
GAUGAACGCUAGCGGGAGGCCUAACACAUGCAAGCCGAGCGGUAUUUGUUCUUCGGAACAGAGAGAGCGGCGUACGGGUGCGUAACACGUGUGCAACCUACCUUUAUCUGGGGAAUAGCCUUCCGAAAGGGAGAUUAAUACCCCAUAAUAUAUUGAAUGGCAUCAUUUGAUAUUGAAAACUCCGGUGGAUAGAGAUGGGCACGCGCAAGAUUAGAUAGUUGGUGAGGUAACGGCUCACCAAGUCAUUGAUCUUUAGGGGUCCUGAGAGGGAGAUCCCCCACACUGGUACUGAGACACGGACCAGACUCCUACGGGAGGCAGCAGUGAGGAAUAUUGGACAAUGGGUGAGAGCCUGAUCCAGCCAUCCCGCGUGAAGGAUGACGGUCCUAUGGAUUGUAAACUUCUUUUGUAUAGGAAUAAACCUCUCUACGUGUAGAGAGCUGAAGGUACUAUACGAAUAAGCACCGGCUAACUCCGUGCCAGCAGCCGCGGUAAUACGGAGGGUGCGAGCGUUAUCCGGAUUUAUUGGGUUUAAAGGGUCCGCAGGCGGGCCGAUAAGUCAGUGGUGAAAUCUCAUAGCUCAACUAUGAAACUGCCGUUGAUACUGUCGGUCUUGAGUAAAUUAGAGGUAGCUGGAAUAAGUAGUGUAGCGGUGAAAUGCAUAGAUAUUACUUAGAACAUCAAUUGCGAAGGCAGGUUACCAUGAUUUAACUGACGCUGAGGGACGAAAGCGUGGGGAGCGAACAGGAUUAGAUACCCUGGUAGUCC